rnacentral:rRNA from 1 species
GAGUUUGAUCCUGGCUCAGGACGAACGCUGGCGGCGUGCCUAACACAUGCAAGUCGAGCGAGAGACUUCGGUCUCUAGCGGCGGACGGGUGAGUAACACGUGGGUAACCUGCCUCGUAGUGGGGGAUAGCCUUCCGAAAGGAAGAUUAAUACCGCAUAACAUCAAAUUGCCGCAUGGUAGUUUGAUCAAAGGAGUAAUCCGCUAUGAGAUGGACCCGCGGCGCAUUAGCUAGUUGGUGAGGUAACGGCUCACCAAGGCGACGAUGCGUAGCCGACCUGAGAGGGUGAUCGGCCACAUUGGAACUGAGAUAC